rnacentral:rRNA from 1 species
ACACAUUAAGCACUCCGCCUGGGGAGUACGGUCGCAAGACUGAAACUCAAAGGAAUUGACGGGGACCCGCACAAGCAGUGGAGUAUGUGGUUUAAUUCGAAGCAACGCGAAGAACCUUACCAGGUCUUGACAUCCCUCUGAUCGGUACAGAGAUGUAUCUUUCCUUCGGGACAGAGGAGACAGGUGGUGCAUGGUUGUCGUCAGCUCGUGUCGUGAGAUGUUGGGUUAAGUCCCGCAACGAGCGCAACCCUUGAUCUUAGUUGCCAGCACUUCGGGUGGGCAC